rnacentral:rRNA from 1 species
GAUGAACGCUGGCGGCGUGCCUAAUACAUGCAAGUCGAGCGAACAGAUGAGGAGCUUGCUCCUCUGACGUUAGCGGCGGACGGGUGAGUAACACGUGGAUAACCUACCUAUAAGACUGGGAUAAAUUCGGGAAACCGGAGCUAAUACCGGAUAAUAUAUUGAACCGCAUGGUUCAAUAGUGAAAGACGGGUUUGCUGUCACUUAUAGAUGGAUCCGCGCCGCAUUAGCUAGUUGGUAAGGUAACGGCUUACCAAGGCAACGAUGCGUAGCCGACCUGAGAGGAUGAUCGGCCACACUGGAACUGAGCCACGGUCCAGACUCCUACGGGAGGCAGCAGUAGGGAAUCUUCCGCAAUGGGCGAAAGCCUGACGGAGCAACGCCGCGUGAGUGACGAAGGUCUUCGGAUCGUAAAACUCUGUUAUUAGGGAAGAACAAAUGUGUAAGUAACUAUGCACGUCUUGACGGUACCUAAUCAGAAAGCCACGGCUAACUACGUG